rnacentral:rRNA from 1 species
CCUUUUUCAAAUCAGUGAAAUUAAUCUCCCCGUGAAGAAGCGGGGAUACUCAUAUAAGACGAGAAGACCCCAUGGAGCUUCAAACCCAACUACACCCCUAGCUCUUAUAGCCCCACAACCCCCCCCUAGGCGCCGUGUGCUUGGUUUUAGGUUGGGGCGACCGCGGAGUACAAUAAAACCUCCACAAUGAACGGGAACACCCCCUUAUCUGAGGGCCACACCCCCUAAGAAUUAGAACACUAACAUAAAAUGAUCCAUUACUUGAUCAAUGAACCAAGUUACCCUGGGGAUAACAGCGCAAUCCAUUUCAAGAGCCCCUAUCGACAAAUGGGUUUACGACCUCGAUGUUGGAUCAGGGUACCCCAGUGGUGCAGCAGCUACUAACGGUUCGUUUGUUCAACGAUUAAAACCCU